rnacentral:rRNA from 1 species
CCUACGGGAGGCAGCAGUGGGGAAUAUUGGGCAAUGGGCGCAAGCCUGACCCAGCAACGCCGCGUGUAGGAAGAAGGCUUUCGGGUUGUAAACUUCUUUUCUGAGGGACGAAGAAAGUGACGGUACCUCAGGAAUAAGCCACGGCUAACUACGUGCCAGCAGCCGCGGUAAUACGUAGGUGGCAAGCGUUAUCCGGAUUGAUUGGGUGUAAAGGGCGGUUAGGCGGGAAAGCAAGUCAGAGGUGAAAACUCAGGGCUCAACCCUGAGCCUGCGUUCGAAACUGUUUUACUUGAGUGCUGGAGAGGCAAUCAGAAUUCCGUGUGUAGCAGUGAAAUGCGUAGAUAUACGGAGGAACACCAGUGGCGAAGGCAGAUUGCUGGACAGUCACUGACGCUGAGGCGCGAAAGCGUGGGGAGCAAACAGGAUUAGAUACCCCGGUAGUC